GCGGCGUGCNUAACACAUGCAAGUCGAACGAGAAAGUGGAGCAAUCCAUGAGUAAAGUGGCGCACGGGUGAGUAACACGUGACUAACCUACCCUUGAGUGGGGGAUAACUGAGGGAAACCUUAGCUAAUACCGCAUAAUACCUACGGGUCAAAGGAGCAAUUCGCUUUGGGAGGGGGUCGCGGCCGAUUAGUUAGUUGGCGGGGUAAUGGCCCACCAAGACUGUGAUCGGUAUCCGGCCUGAGAGGGCGCACGGACACACUGGAACUGAAACACGGUCCAGACUCCUACGGGAGGCAGCAGUGGGGAAAUUUUGCGCAAAUGGGGGAAACCCUGACGCAGCAACGCCGCGUGGAGGAUGAAGUACUUCGGUACGUAAACUCCUUUCGAUCGGGACGAUAAUGACGGUACCGGAAGAAGAAGCCCCGGCUAACUUCGUGCCAGCAGCCGCGGUAAUACGAGGGGGGCAAGCGUUGUUCGGAAUUAUUGGGCGUAAAGGGUGCGUAGGCGGUUUGGUAAGUCUUAUGUGAAAUCUCCGGGCUCAACCCGGAGCCUGCAACGGAAACUGCCGUGCUCGAGUAUGGGAGAGGUGAGUGGAAUUCCCGGUGUAGCGGUGAAAUGCGUAGAUA
rnacentral:rRNA from 1 species